rnacentral:misc_RNA from 1 species
UUUGCUGUCGUACUUCUUUAACAGUUACAAACGAAAGUUUUAAAUGUCAAAUUAUAAGAUGUCAAUGUAGUUUAAUGAGAGCUGAUAUAGAAGCAUGGAAAGAUCACUAACACGUCGAGACAAGAAACAAAUAUCACAAUGGAUUGGCAAUGAUAGUCAGUUUGAGCUUCUGUACAAAAGACGUUCCAUGAGUUGUGUGACAACAAGGGACCUACUGUGACCAUGUUCUACAACACGGACAACAAUGUGUACGGGGGGUACCUGUCAGACAGCUGGGAGAGUACCGGAAACUGGUGUACAGACCAGAGAGCGUUUCUGUUCAAAUUAUAUUCUGCUGGCAACUGGAAACCUGUUAAGUUCCCAUACGUAAUAAAAGAAACCCAUUUUAAAAAUAAAACUCACGGACCAUGGUUUUAUUCGUUGACUUCAAUGUAUUCGUUUAUAAAAACGACUAAUAAACCAUCGUCAAACUAUUACAAUUUAGACACUUCGAGUCUUUUUGACGGACACAGAUUUGACAUGAAAGGAGAAACCGUCCAGUCUGUGGCAAACGGUCACAACAAUGUCACGGAUCUGGAGGUCAACCAGGUCAAAGAAGGUUCUUUAGACGAUGAACUAGACUCUUUUUGGAGGGAUUCACCAGAAUGGAGUCCACAGACUUUUCAAGAAUUAAAAGAAUUUGUUGCAAACUACAAACCUUUUGAGGAAACAAAAAUCACAGAGGUCAACAUUCUACUCAUUGGUCCGGCUGGUGCAGGAAAAUCUAGCUUUUUAAAUACCAUUAACACAAUUUUUAAGGGCGAAAUGUCAUCCCGUGCAUGCACUGGAUGCGCAGAUAUUAGUCCAGCACAAAAGUUUCGCAAAUUCCGGGUUCGUGACCCUACUACAAAAAAGCACCUUUGUUUCCGGAUCUGCGACACUCGGGGCGUGGAGGAGGGUGUCUUCAUUAAAAGUGAAGACUUGGGUUUUCUUAUUGACGGAAACCUCUCAGACAAUUACACUUUUCAACUCGAUUCGGAAGCUUCAACAAAAAGAAUUGGCUUCGUGGAAGAACCAACAGUGAAAGAGAAAAUGCACGUGGUUGUGUUUGUACUUGAUGGAAGUAGCCUGGACGUCCUGUCAGCGGGGGUCGUCUCAAAACUUAGAGAAAUCAAAAGUCUCGUGGUAGACAAAAGUAUAUCCCAUUUAGUUUUCCUAACCAAGAUAGACAAACUUUGUAAUUUGGUGGAGAAAGACGUCAGCAAAACGUUUAAGAGUAGAGAUGUAGAAGACGCCGUCAACAAUGCCGCUGAUGUCAUGGCUCUCCCAAGAUCCCAAAUACUCCCGGUUAAAAAUUAUGAAAAGGAAACUACUCUCAAUACGGAUAUAAACAUUCUUGCUUUGACGGCUCUCCGAAAGUUGUUGGUGUUUGCAGAUGACUUUCUGGAGAACCAGUAUGAUUGGCAACAGAUUGAUAUGUAAAUAUUAAACAAAAAACUGAGACUUUCAAAACAUUGGUCUGAUCCUAAAUUAUGGGAUUGCAAAGUUUGAAAUAGUAUUGUACAUUUAAUCUCAUUUCUAUUUGCAAAUAGAUGUAGCCAGUUUAAAGAUAAAACCUAAGAUUGUGAAUAUAUGAAUUUGAAAUCCAA